rnacentral:lncRNA from 1 species
CUCCGUGAGCUCUAGCCUCCGGUUAAGCCUUCGCUAGUGUCCUGGUUUGCGCAGCCACACCCACGCCCAGAAACGGUUUCUAGCAUCCUAGCCUCGGAAAUGUUCUGGACUGCAAAUGUCAUCUGCGUUGGUGGGGUUUCCCCGGGGGAAGUCCGACGGAUCCCGCCCUGUCCAUCUCUCCAUCCCAGAGCGGGAGGGAAGACAGAGAAAGUUCCCGGGUGGUCCACGCUCCCCACCCCCACCCCUGACCCCGCAGCAUCUGGCGGAGCUUAGGCAGGGAAGGUGGCUCGUGCCUAGGCUCCCGGCAACCUGCAGCGUGACGACUGCAGUAGGGUAAGGAAGCCGCGCGCCUAGCGGAGGACGUCUCCGGGGCGGGGCCUGGUCCCCAGCUGUGCGGCCUCAGAGCGCCGGGGGCGGGGACAGUGGCGUCCAGAUGCGGUCGGGGUGGCGCAGAUCUCACUCCGCGCCUGAGAAGCACAGCCGGCAAGAAGCGCAGGGAGCAGGGCCGCCGGGACACGCGCACCCGGUUUCCUCCGGGCGUCCCGUCGCUGGAUCAGCGCCCCACCGGAUCACGUAUGAAGCUCUCUGGUAUGAACUCGAUAGACGGCAGCAUCAUAUCACAGUGUCAAAAGGCUGGAUACCCCUGGCACUUGUUUCUCACAGUUUAGGGAUGCUGUAAACUCAAUGUCAGGGUGUUGGCAAGUUUGGUGGUUUGAACAAGAUGUCCCCCAAUGUCUGGGACAGGUGAGCAAACAGUGUCCCCAGUUGAUGACACUGUUUGGGAGGUUUAGGAAGUGUGGCCUUGCUGGAGGAAGUAUGGCUUUGAGAGUUUGAAGACUCACACUAUUUUGAGUUUUCUUUCUCUGCUUUGUACUUGCUGUUCAAGAUCUGAGCCCUCAGCUUUCUGCUCCUGCCGCCAUACCUGCUGCUUCCCUGCCAUGAUGGACUCUCAUCCUCUGGAACCGUAAGCCUAUAUAAACUCUUUCUUCUAUAAGUUGUCUUGGUGUAGGUGUUUUGUCACAGCAAAAGAAAAAUGACGAAUUCAGCAAG